rnacentral:lncRNA from 1 species
AAGGAAGUGAAGGAGAUAGUGGUGACAUGGAGAAAUGCUCAUGAAAUGAAUGGAACAAAAGAAAUGAGGUGAUUAGUAAAAUAAAGCAUAGAAUAAGAGAAGUGCACAAAAAAGUAUUAAAAGGAAAGACAUAAAAGAGACUAAUAAAGUGACAAAAUGUGCAUGAAAGUGGCCAUAAGAUUCUAGCAUGUGUAUGACCUAUGACCCCUUCAUUAUGGCAAAAUUUUAGAAGUCUUACUUUGUGCCAUAAGGUGAGAAUUA